rnacentral:rRNA from 1 species
CAUCGACUACGCCUUUCGGCCUCGCCUUAGGGGUCGACUCACCCUGCCCCGAUUAACGUUGGACAGGAACCCU